rnacentral:lncRNA from 1 species
GGCUUUGAGCAGCACUGUGCAGGAAUGAUCGGCUGGUAAGUGAACAGGCUGCGGCGCUUCAAAGUGCGCUGUGGGUGGGGAGCACGAUGACAGCCCAAGGGUGGCACCAGGAGAUGCAGCACAGCCCUCUCCAGCAGCAGGGUGCAUUAAUUGGUCUUGCUAAUUCUUGACGGAGAAGGCAGGAGCUGGGCAGCGGUACUGCAGCUCGUCUGGCAGCUUUGCAGCUGAGUUUGGAAGUAGAAGAUGUGGCUGUGAAAGAAGAAGUCAGUUGCUGGGACGUCCCCCUGUUCUUCCCCUAGCUGUCCCCUUGCCUCAGCCUGAAUUCUUCUUGCAUUCCUGUAACCGCAAUCGUAACAGCCAUAGAGCUGGAGGGGGCCUUUAAAGGCCAUCUCGUCCAACAGCCCCGCAACAAAGAGGGACACCGCAGCUCCAGCAGGCUGUCCAGGGCCUGGUCCAGCCUGGCCCUCAAAGGCUCCCCGUGCUCCAACCCCGCAUUUCCUGCCGAGCCCUGCCGUAAGGAACUCCUGGCACCCACGGAAAAGCC